AGGAAAAGGAAAGAAGAGAAAAGAGAGACAAAAAACAAAAGAAUGUGACAGGUGCCAGGUCCCUCGUAGGUAACUGUGGUGGUGACCAAACCCUGUGUUGCAGUGUGGCUUAUAAUUUAUUCCCAACCCAGUGAGAGAAUCCAGAGUCUCCUCCACUCAUCCACCACCAACAUGUCUGCAGCCAGAGACUCAAACUACUGGGUUGUGUUGCCGACAGGCCCUCCUGCUGAUUGGCUGAGAUUUUUUUUAAGACAAGCUUCAACAGGAAGUGUGUUUUGAUUGGUGGAAACACUGCAGUUACACACCUGAUGCAAUGGACACGCCUGGGAGCCAGUGCAAUGUAGAACCAAACAGACCAAUGCCUUCUUUUUGUAUAUGAUUACUGUGUCAGUUAUUGCAAUGUGGUCAAUUCUUUGGUAUUUAAAGGUUGUUACACAUUUUUAAACUUAUAUUUAUUAAGACAGUCAAAAAAUGGACCAGCAUUUUGUGAUAGUUUGUUCAAACACUUUAAGAAGCCUUGACUCAUUACAACAGUGUGCAGUAUGUUGCAGCUGUUUUGUACAAGGAGUGAUGAAAUGUCGCCAUCUAGUGUUCGAACCACUUUACACUCCAUGAGAGUAUUUUUCUAAAACACAUUAGACAAGUACAGUGUUUGCUGUCACCCCAGGACCUUUUUACCUUUAGGAACUACCAGUCAUGGGGAAUCAGUUCUCUUUACAUUGCAUAAUGUUGUGAGACAUAGCCUGAUGACAACUCAGACAAAAUUACAAACAAUAUUUACAACAAUACUUUUUUUUUUUUCAACUUAAGGCAUGACCAAAGAAAAUGUUGUACAGAUAAAUAACUGUGAUGAAUGCUUGUCAAGAAUCUCAAUUGUUCUUUGGAAUCCAUCCCUUUCUCUCUCUAUUGUUUCAGAGGGUUUGAUACACUGUCAAUUAUACCUGGUAUCUAUUGAUAUAGGGUCUAACCAAUGCUGAAUCCAUUCUGGAUUUAAAAAUGCAGUUUCUGUGCCAGUGGCUUCAACUUCAGGACAACCAGGACUGAAAGAAGGAGCUUUUCAAUUACACAAAACAUAUCUGUUUAAAGCACAUCAGGAAGUGUGUAUGCCCAGCAGGGAAUUAAUGAUCAAUACAACAGUAGCCUAAUCAAUAUACUUAUGCAGUGCUCUUUUGGUAUUAAUCCCAACUAAAGAGUAUCAGUUAAAUCAUUAUUUUGUUGUUCUAAUGCCAGUGCAAAGUUCUCACAAAUAUAUGAAUUAUUUUUGGCUUUCUAUGUUUAAACAGCUAUAAUUUGUGUCCAGUCACUCCAGAGUCCCUGGCCCACACCACAGGUGUCUUCCUCUGUCUGUUUUUGGAAACACUGCAGUAGGCUAAGGAAGGGAUCAAUUGAAGUAGUUAAGUAAAAUGAUGGGUUUGAUGUUUGUUUGUUUUUUGUGUACUACACAAAGAAAAUCUAUGAAAAUGUAAAAAGUAACUUUUCUAUUGUGUUAGUAUUUUUAUUUCAUUUCAGUAUUUAUUUUGUUAUUAAAUUGUCAUGGUUGACAGCU